UGGCAGUGAUUUGACAUUACCCUUGCUUCUGAUGUAACCCUUGAAGCAAAUGGAAAAUAAUGGUUGAAUUUCUUAAUAUGAGCCG
rnacentral:snoRNA from 2 species